GAAAAUCUGUCCUCUUUCUUGUAUCCCAGUAUUUCACAGAAGCAGCAGCUCCCACAGCCACUGAGACCAGGACCAGGAGAUGAGGACAGACAUGCCUGGUGGACGUGAAGUCCAUCAACCCCAGGACCUUAUCAGGAGGUCUGCCCUCAACCUGCUGGGAACUCCUCCUCCAAGCAGCUCUGCUCCAAGCCCAGGCACAUCAUCCUGAUAAUCCCCGGUGACAUGGUGAACCUGGAGGACAUUAUGCCAGAUGAAAAAAGUCAAGCAUGAAAGACAAAUGCCUCACCAUCUGACUCAGGCCCCCUUACUGCAUCUAGACUGCAUCAAGCAUGUGUCUGCCUCAAGAUCUUUGUACAGUUUCCUCUGCCUGGAGGACUCAUCUCUGGACAUACUCCCAGUUUCUCAACUCAAGACUGAAGUCACCGCGUUAGCCUGCACAGUCACGACCACAGCCUUCCCCAGCCUACCCUUGCCUUUGCUAUACAUUUAUUAUUCCCCAUCAUGCUUCACUCCUAUACAAUUUAUUUGUAUAAUACAUGGAAGCAGGAAGACUUAUGGGGCUCCUCCCUCUCGAAGGUUCUAUAGGUAUUUGGUGGUUACCAGGAGAGGGUAAAAAUUAUUUUUUUAGCUGUGUAGUCACUGGUAAGUUCUCCAUGCUUCUGGAUAUAACCUCUCACUCAUACUCUUGAAAGCCACCCUAAUAAAACAUACUGGGGACACAAAAGUAAACAUGAGAGUAGACAGGGCUGGUUAGAAAUGAGAGAGGAAUUCUUUUUUUUUUAAGUUUAUUUUAUUUUUUUAAUUUAUUAUA